rnacentral:rRNA from 1 species
CAGCAGCCGCGGGAAUACGUAGGUCCCGAGCGUUGUCCGGAUUUAUUGGGCGUAGAGCGAGCGCAGGCGGUUAGAUAAGUCUGAAGUUAAAGGCUGUGGCUUAACCAUAGUACGCUUUGGAAACUGUUAGACUUGAGUGCAGAAGGGGAGAGUGGAAUUCCAUGUGUAGCGGUGAAAUGCGUAGAUAUAUGGAGGAACACCGGUGGCGAAAGCGGCUCUCUGGUCUGUCACUGACGCUGAGGCUCGAAAGCGUGGGUAGCGAACAGGAUUAGAUACCCCCGUAGUCCCUGUCUCUUAUACC